ensembl:lncRNA
AUUUUCUUAUGGCAGCACCCAAACAAUGUAAACAUAAAACUAGAAUUUUAUCUGUCAUUGGAAUGCCAGAGGCUCUGGAGUUCAGAGCAGACCUUUGUAAACCAAAUGAGUGCAGUCCAGUAUAUCAAUGCACUCUCCUCAUAAUUUUCCAAUCUUUUUAGUGAAAUAUGUUUAGCCUUUCUGGUGUAAAAGUUUUGCUUGUGACCAUUGUUCACCCCCCAUAAACAAAGCAACCACCUGUUAUUUAAAACUGGAGUAACAGAAGGACUGAGCACCUUCAACCUACUGAAAUCAAUGCUAGUUCAGUUUCUAUACAGUCUUGUGAGUCUGACCUUCAUCUCAUUUUUCCUUUCAUCCAAAGCUGACUGUAAAAUUUGGUUCAAAGGAAUAAAGAAGUGAAAGACAUUUCUGGUCUGGAUGGCAGUGGAAGAGCUCAAUCUCUACAGAAAAUCAGAAGCAUUCCAGUGGAGCUUGACAACCAGAGCAGACUUGAGGCAGACAAGAAAUGGAAGCCACCAUUAGCCAGAACAACACUGUUAACAAGAAACAUUAGGCCACCUCUUUGGAAUUGGAAUAUAUGCCAGACACUUGACACAAGGUUCUAUCAAGCAAAAACAAAGUACAAAUCAGAGAAAUAACAUGCAGAAUAAGCAAAGCUGUGCAACAAGAGAGAACUGCUAAGAAAGGAAGAAAAAACAGAUUUUGUGGAAGGCUUAACAGCAUAACUUGACACAGGAUGAGCUCACAAACAAACUGGAGUCUCCAAAUCUGUCAGGAUUAGUGCCCGAGCUGCAGCAGCAUGAUAUACCUGCAACAUCAGUUCUGCCAAGAACUUUGCUUGAGCUGUGGAAAGGGUCACCAGCAGUUUGAUGGAGCCACCCAAGAUCUGGGAAAGAGAACCAACCUGCCAUGUCUCAGUUUUUGUAGUUUCCAGCUGUGGCUGUGGCUGGAAGGGUGAUGCAUAGCACUGCUAGUGAAUUACAUUACAGAAAUUACUAACAUGCAUGAGGAAGGAUGCCUGAGCCACUCCUUCAAUCAAUGAGCAAUAUCUCCAAAGAGCACUCUCUUCUCCUAUGCCCAAGGCCCUAGGAACAAGGGAAGUGCCACGAGAAAGACUGGGUCCACAGGUCAUCUCUUUCAUACCACAAACACCCCUGUCCUUACUUACUCUGUGAAUUUGGGAAAAAAAAAUAAUGGUGUCUGGGUGCUUCACAAAAGGAAGUGAAAAAUUCCAAAGCAGACAGGAAACACCACACUGCAAUGAAGCCAGCCUUGUGACAAGGGAACAUCCCCUUAUGGACAGACCUUGAGAACGCAAACAAUUUUACAUGUAAGCACUUGAACACACAUACACACGUGUGCAUAUAUACACACACACACAUAAGCAUCUUCCACAAGUCUCAGAGGUUAGAGUUUGACACACUGAACCUUGGGCUGGACCUGGACAAUACUUCUGGUUUUGUGACUAAUGCAAAUUUAAGGUCAUUCUCAGAAUUUUGAGAAUAAUCCUGCACUUGUGAACUUCUCACUCUGGGUUGAAGUGCUCUGUCUGCAAUUACUUCAGAGUGUCAGGGUUGUGAGGGUUAUUCUAGUUACUCAUAAAGUAAAAAGGAGUUAGGGUAAUUGUCUUAUUUUCCACCUGCAAGCUCAUUUUUACAAUAGUUUAUCUUCAUAUUGAGAGCAGUGAAAAAAUAUGGUAUUCAUAUCAAUAUAUUAAUAUUAGUCUCACAUAUUAAUUAAAGUAUAAUAAAUUAACAACACAGAAUUAGAAAUUGCA